UUUGGUGAUGAUAGGCAGAGAGGUCACACCCUUCCCAUACCGAACACGGAAGUAAGCUUCUCUAGCGCCGAUGGUAGUUGGACUUGUCCCUGUGAGAGUAGGAACGUCGCCAAGC
rnacentral:rRNA from 1 species